AUGAAUCACACAAGUUCAAAGUGUUUACCAAUACCGUUUACUUAUCUCCAAGGAUUUUUCAAAUUUCAAGAAUGCACUAGAAUUUAUCCAUACCUCUCUAAGAUUAUCAUUGAGAUUUUCAAACCCUUUUCUCGAUGUUCAGCUCAAAGAGAUAAGAAUAACGAACAUAGAUAUUUAGAACCUGAUGAAACCCAACAUAUAUUUAACGGACUCAAAACACAAUUCAUUAAAAACAAAUCCACAAAAGCAAAAACAACUAAGCAUGAUACACAAGAAUUGCCUAGACCAUAUACAAUACUCGACAGACCCGAAUCACCAGCCAAAGACCCUCCACCGUUGUCACUCGCCAUAGCUCUGUCAUGA